GGAUUGUAGCUCAGUGGCAAAUCGCUUGCCUCACAUGUGUGAGGCACUGGGUUCAAUCCUCAGCACCA
rnacentral:tRNA from 1 species